rnacentral:rRNA from 1 species
ACACGUCUACAUUAGAUACCCGCGUAGUCCCAGCCGUAAACUAUGCGCGUUAGGUGUAUCGGUGACCACGAGUCACCGAGGUGCCGAAGGGAAACCGUGAAACGUGCCGCCUGGGAAGUACGGUCGCAAGGCUGAAACUUAAAGGAAUUGCGGGGGAGCACCACAACGGGUGGAGCCUGCGGUUUAAUUGGACUCAACGCCGGGAAGCUCACCGGAUAAGACAGCGGAAUGAUUGCCGGGCUGAAGACUCUGUAUGACUAGCUG